AUGAGUUUUAAACCUCACGAGUGCUGGGCUCUGCCUUGGGAGCCCUGGUGGGGCCGGGAGCAAGGCAACCCCAGGGACCCUUGCCUCUGGUGUCAGCAGAGCGGUGCUGGCGUCUCGGUGCCGUCUAUAUGGGAAAUGUUGGUUUCCAUAGGAACGGCCUGUGGCAGCGCUGGCUUUUGGGGGAGGUGGCAUCUGGAUGGUGGCAGGAGCCUGGCGUGGCUGCGCCUCGCUAACUCAGUCUCCCUCCCUCUGCAAACAUUGGAUUUAAACCUGCUCAGAAUUCAGCACAGACGAAAGCGGCAGCAGCGGCGGCGGCGGCAGCAGCAGCAAGCAGCAAGCAAAUCAGCCGCUAGCCUAGUGCAGCUCCAAGAUGUACCAUCCUGCCUGCUGGAUCGUCUUCACCGCCACAACUGCCCUGCUCUUCAUCCCAGAGGGGUAGGUGAGCGCCCAGCAAUGCAUCCUCUGCCAGCCACGUGUGGGAGCGUUCAGCAAGAGAUCCCAGCCUCUGGAUGCUCUGGCAUGGAGCUGCUUCGUCCCCAAGCCAUUAUUUAUGUCUGCGGGGCUGGAUACUGA
rnacentral:lncRNA from 1 species